UCUUUCAGCUUAUACUAUGUCAAAUAUAACAUUUUUUUCUUGUCAAUUAUGAUAAAGUGAAUGGCGUCUGGGGAAACUGGUUGAACUGGGGUUUGUGCUCAGUAACGUGUGGAGAUGGAACAAGGUCAAGAUUAAGGUCAUGUGAUAAUCCAUCACCUAGCAAUGGUGGAGAACAAUGUCAAGGGUCAAGUGUGGACAAUCAAAAUUGCAAAGACGAGGAGUGCCACAGAUUUGGCUGCAUGUGAAGCUAUGGCGGCCAGGCUUGUUAUAUUCGAUAGCCAACAGGAGAUAGACGAUUUAAUGACCGCAUUUGAUAUACAAGGCAUGGGCGCCUGGUGAACCUAAUGGAGCCAAUUGUGUUUGGAUAGGAAGUCAGAGCGUACUGUGGGACGACGCCGGAUGUGGAGGUGCGAGGAAUUAUAUUUGUGAACAGAUUUAAUCCAAGUUGAAGACUUUUACAAAAAAAUUUCACCAGUCUUCAUCUUAAAACGUGCAAUUAUCAUGAAAUGAAAUGAGUCGGGAUUAUAAUGAUUUUCAGUAUAAUUGUGAAAACAAGUAAUAGGCAGUAUAUGUAAUAGUUCACUUAAUAUAAGUUUCAGGCGUUCUCCGCAAACAUCAACUUCAGCAGUACUUGGUUAUUUGGUAAUUUUCUAUGACGGUACAUCACAAACUGCGAAUAAUCAAAUUUUGGUAUGGAAGUAUGAAAGCCCCCGACACUAUUUUUAAAGUAAUGUUUAUAACAGGUUCAAUUUUAAUUUGACUUAUUUAUGGACAAAAAACGUUAGGAAAAUGCUAUCAGAUUUAUGUGAUGGAAAUUAAUGGACCAAUGUUAAUAUCACAAAGAAUAUUAUACAAAGACUUUAUGAUCAAUGAUUACAGCAAUGGUGUUCUGAGCGAAGUAGUUUUCCUAAGGUUAUCUAGUUACAAUUUUAUUCAAGAAAGAUACUUAGAUGUUGUUAAUAACAUCAAUCACCGUAAAGCGUUCACGUUUAGAUGUUUAUCACAUUAAUUGUAAAAAGAAGAUGGAAGAUAUAGAAAUGGCGAUAGAAAUUCACGUAUACGUAUGAAAUGCAGCUUGAAUCAAAUAGAAAAUGAAUAUCAUUUUUAUUAGUUUGUCCAUUCUAUAGGGAACUGAGAAGUCCUCGAUAUUUUUGUGCUUGACCAACCAUCAAUAAUUUUCAAUUUCAAUAUCAUUUAUGCAGUCUUCACAAAAGAAAAUAAUAGUUUAUUUAGCUGAGUUUAUUUAUUGGUGUAUAUGAGAAGCUAAAACAGAUCAUUUUAUAUGUGUCGUUAUUUGUUUCUAUAUUAUUGUAUUCGGUAUAAUCAUACUUCUGUGACUCAUAUUGACAUUAUGAUAUUUUUUGCAGUAGUUUUGUAAACUGUAUACCAUCUUUUUCUUAUGCAAUGUAAACAUGUUAUAUCUACUACGGUAUCUAGGCGAUGAACAUGUAUUUGUUGUUGCCAAUAAUAUAUUUGACUUGAUUUGUUAUAAAGUAUGAUGUCUCUUUUGAGAUUUUAAUUGCAUUACACGUGUUUAUCAUUUCAAUAUUUACAAAUUCAGCAUAAAACGCCACAAAUAUCAAACAAAUAUACAAUUUUAAUAUGAUUUGCAUAAGGAUUGAUUGUCAUCACACACAAAUAGAAAACAUAUACAAGUAUACAUGUAUAAUAGCCUUAUUUCUAUUAUUUCUUCACUAUUAAAUAUGAACACCAUUAUUGUGCAUA